rnacentral:rRNA from 1 species
GAUGAACGCUGGCGGCGUGCCUAAUACAUGCAAGUCGAACGAACAGACGAGGAUCGUGCUCCUCGGACGGUAGCGGCGGACGGGUGAGGAGAACGUGGAGAACCUGCCUAUGAGACUAGGAUAAGUUAGGGAAACCGGAACUAGUACCGGAUAAUAGAUUGAACGGCAUGGUUCAAUAGUGAAGGACGGUUUGGCUGUCACUUAGAGAUAGAUCCGCGCCGCAUUAGCUAGUUGGUAAGGUAACGGCUUACCAAGGCAACGAUGCGUGGCCGACCGGAGAGCGUGAUCGGCCACACUGGAACUGAGCCACGGUCCAGACUCCUACGGGCGGCACCAGUAGGGACUCUUCCCAACUGGGCGAAAUACUGAACGAGCAACGCCGCGCGAGUGCUGCAGGUCUUCGGACCGUAUAACUCUGUUCUUAUGGAAGACCACAUGCGUCAGUAACUAUGCAUGUCUUGACGGUACCUACUCAGAAAGCACCGGCUAACUACGUG